CAUCCCUACAGGAGUCUCAGGAAUUUCCUGCUGGAGGCCAACAUGGAAAUGCUGAGCAGUGCUGCUAGUGGGAAGGUCUCCUUUCUAAUAAAGAUUGGUCAGUCUUUUUGGAGUGAGAAUAUCCAAUCAGGCUGUGAUUUCCUCAGAUGAAUUUGUUCUUUGGAAAUGUCUCAGAUCUAUGUAAUUUCAAAAGUCCUUGUAACAUUGCUCAGGUGGGCGAGAGGAGUAUGAAUGUGUCGAGAUAAGAUGCAACGUUAUAUUGCUUAGAACCAGAUGGCCAGAGAAGGGGGGUGAGCGAGCAUGGGCAAAGGCCAGAAAACGAGGUGACCUGGCUGCAGAGAAGUCAUCUAUAACCAUCCAUGUGUACCUCCUACUCACAAGAGGAUUGGCAGAGUGGCAGAUUGACGAGCCUUGAAGCGUAGCAGGCACCCCUAAAGACGAUUGAUUACAGGAUGAGCCUUGGAAGAUGUUUGGGAACAAUUGACAUCAACAAGAUAACAUUCCGGUCACAGA